GCAUUUUCUUUCACCGUAGCUUGCUACACCGRAAGAAAAUGAGUGGCGAACGGGUGAGUAACACGUGGGUAACCUGCCCAUCAGCGGGGGAUAACACUUGGAAACAGGUGCUAAUACCGCAUAAUUCCAUCUACCGCAUGGUAGAUGGAUGAAAGGCGCUUUUGCGUCACUGAUGGAUGGACCCGCGGUGCAUUAGCUAGUUGGUGGGGUAACGGCCUACCAAGGCUGCGAUGCAUAGCCGACCUGAGAGGGUGAUCGGCCACACUGGGACUGAGACACGGCCCAGACUCCUACGGGAGGCAGCAGUAGGGAAUCUUCGGCAAUGGACGCAAGUCUGACCGAGCAACGCCGCGUGAGUGAAGAAGGUUUUCGGAUCGUAAAACUCUGUUGUUAGAGAAGAACAAGGAUGAGAGUGGAAAGUUCAUCCCUUGACGGUAUCUAACCAGAAAGCCACGGCUAACUACGUGCCAGCAGCCGCGGUAAUACGUAGGUGGCAAGCGUUGUCCGGAUUUAUUGGGCGUAAAGCGAGCGCAGGCGGUCUUUUAAGUCUGAUGUGAAAGCCCCCGGCUUAACCGGGGAGGGUCAUUGGAAACUGGGAGACUUGAGUGCAGAAGAGGAAAGCGGAAUUCCAUGUGUAGCGGUGAAAUGCGUAG
rnacentral:rRNA from 1 species